AGUCGAACGGACCCGCAAGGGUUAGUGGCGGAAGGGUGAGUAAUGGUAUCGAAUGUACCCCGAGGUGGGGGAUAGGCAUGGGAAACUGUGCGUAAUACCCCAUGAUCUCGUGAGAGCAAAGGCGCAGGCCGCCUUGGGAGCAGCGAUACUCCUAUCAGGUAGUUGGCGGGGUAAUGGCCCACCAAGCCGAAGACGGGUAGCCGGUAUGAGAGUACGGCCGGCCACAUCGGGACUGAGACACUGCCCGGACUCCUACGGGAGGCUGCAGUAACGAAUAUUCCGCAAUGGGCGAAAGCCUGACGGAGCAAUGCCGCGUGUGGGAUGAAGCGGUUUCGCCGUGUAAACCACUGUCAGGGGAUAGAAAAGAUGAUCAUCCCCAGAGGAAGGGGCGACUAACUCUGUGCCAGCAGUCGCGGUAAGACAGAGGCCCCAAGCGUUAGUCGGAAUCACUGGGCUUAAAGGGUGCGUAGGCGGGCGUGUGCGUGUCUCGUGAAAGCCCCGGGCUCAACCCGGGAACCGCGGGGCAUACGGCACGUCUCGAGGAAGCUAGAGGCCGGCGGAACGAUCGGUGGAGCGGUGGAAUGCGUAGAGAUCGAUCGGAACGCCAAGGGUGAAGACAGCCGGCUGGGGCUUUCCCGACGCUGAGGCACGAAGGCGCGGGGAUCAAACAGGAUUAGAUACCCUGGUAGUCCGCGCCCUAAACGAUGCGCACUAGAUCGGUGCCGGUUUCACCCGGUAU
rnacentral:rRNA from 1 species